rnacentral:rRNA from 1 species
GAUGAACGCUGGCGGCGUGCCUAAUACAUGCAAGUCGAGCGAACAGACGAGGAGCUUUCUCCUCUGACGUUAUCGGCGGACGGGUGAGUAACACGUGGAUAACCUACCUAUAAGACUGGGAUAACUUCGGGAAACCGGAGCUAAUACCGGAUAAUAUAUUGACCCGCAUGGUUCACUAGUUAAAGACGGUUUUUCUUUCACUUAUAGCUUGAUCCGCGCCGCAUUAGCUAGUUGGUAAGGUAACGGCUUACCAAGGCAACGAUGCGUAGCCGACCUGAACGGGAGGUCGGAUAGACGGGAACGGAGAAAGGGUCCAGACACCGACGGGAGGCCACAGUAGGGAAUCUUACGGAAGGGGAGAAAGCGUGACAGAGGAAAGACGCGUGAGUGAUGAAGGUCUAAGGAGCGUAGAACGCUGUUAGUAGGGAAGAACAAAUGUGUAAGUAACUAGGAACAUAUUGACGGUACCUAGACAGAAAGCCACGGCUAACUACGUG